GAGAGGGGACAUUAUAUGAAGACAACAAAGGGGCCAUAAACUCAGUAAACACAAACCAAUCUUGGAGGACACAAUUUAGCAAGAACGAUGGUAGAGGUAGCAUGGAUUACACUAACAAAGGUACACGAAAAAUUGGAAGAGGUGUUGGUGCUUGAACCUAUGGAAGGUGUUAUCCAUCAAGCAAUAACAACAAGAUUUGUGUCUUUUAUGGAAAGGAAGGACACGCCACUAAAAUAUGUUACUUCAAAUAUGGAUUUCUACCGAACUUCAAAUUUAAAUCCAAGAAUUUAGCAGGUGGGUCCAUCAACACCAUAACCUCAAACUCAUUAGACAAUGGGAACAAUUCAGAAACAGAAUCAAGACAAAUUAAUGGCAAAACAUAAGGCCAAGAUGCUUGUUUCUCAAGCAAGCUUUGAAAUAUGUAUAUAUAUACACA
rnacentral:lncRNA from 1 species